rfam:Enteractinococcus sp. TASWS1574 100, whole genome shotgun sequence.
AAUCACGAGUGCUGAUCAAUGUAGCCCUGGCUGAUCAGCCAGCAACCCUCUCGCCGUAGUGGGGUGCUCCAGGUGAUGAUUCGGCUAAGUUCAACCGUUCUUAGCAAGUAUGGCGC